rnacentral:rRNA from 1 species
CCUACGGGCGGCAGCAGUGAGGAAUAUUGGUCAAUGGGCUUACGCCUGAACCAGCCAAGUCGCGUGAGGGAAGACUGCCCUAUGGGUUGUAAACCUCUUUUGUCAGGGAGCAACGCCGGCUACGUGUAGCCGGACUGAGAGUACCUGAAGAAAAAGCAUCGGCUAACUCCGUGCCAGCAGCCGCGGUAAUACGGAGGAUGCGAGCGUUAUCCGGAUUUAUUGGGUUAAAAGGGUGCGUAGGAGGAAUGCCAAGUCAGCGGGAAAAUCGCGGGGCUCAACCUCGCUCCGCAGUUGAAACUGGCGUUCUUGAGUGGGCGAGAAGUAUGCGGAAUGCGUGGUGUAGCGGUGAAAUGCAUAGAUAUCACGCAGAACUCCGAUUGCGAAGGCAGCAUACCGGCGCCCAACUGACGCUGAAGCACGAAAGCGUGGGUAUCGAACAGGAUUAGAUACCCCAGUAGUC